rnacentral:rRNA from 1 species
GACGAACGCUGGCGGCGUGCUUAACACAUGCAAGUCGAACGGAAAGGCCCUGCUUGCAGGGUACUCGAGUGGCGAACGGGUGAGUAACACGUGGGUGAUCUGCCCUGCACUUCGGGAUAAGCCUGGGAAACUGGGUCUAAUACCGGAUAGGAGCCAUUUUUAGUGUGAUGGUUGGAAAGUUUUUUCGGUGUAGGAUGAGCUCGCGGCCUAUCAGCUUGUUGGUGGGGUAAUGGCCUACCAAGGCGGCGACGGGUAGCCGGCCUGAGAGGGUGGACGGCCACAGUGGGACUGGGAUACGGCCCAGACUCCUACGGGAGGCAGCAGUGGGGAAGAUUGCACAAUGGGCGCAAGCCUGAUGCAGCGACGCCGCGUGGGGGAUGACGGCCUUCGGGUUGUAAACUCCUAUCGCUAGGGACGAAGCUGUUUGUGACGGUACCUAGAUAAGAAGCACCGGCUAACUACGUG